GACGAACCGUGCGAACGUUGUUCGGAAUCACUGGGCUUAAAGGGCGCGUAGGCGGGCGGGCAAGCCCGGGGUGAAAUCUUUCGGCUCAACCGGAAAAGUGCCUCGGGGACUGCUCGUCUGGAGUGAGGUAGGGGCCGCGGGAACUUCCGGUGGAGCGGUGAAAUGCGUUGAUAUCGGAAGGAACGCCGGUGGCGAAAGCGCGCGGCUGGCCCUCAACUGACGCUGAGGCGCGAAAGCUAGGGGAGCGAACGGG
rnacentral:rRNA from 1 species